UUAGAGUUUGAUCCCUGGCUCAGGACGAACGCUGGCGGCGUGCCUAAUACAUGCAAGUCGAGCGCAGGAAGCCGGCGGAUCCCUUCGGGGUGAAGCCGGUGGAAUGAGCGGCGGACGGGUGAGUAACACGUGGGCAACCUACCUUGUAGACUGGGAUAACUCCGGGAAACCGGGGCUAAUACCGGAUGAUCAUUUGGAUCGCAUGAUCCGAAUGUAAAAGUGGGGAUUUAUCCUCACACUGCAAGAUGGGCCCGCGGCGCAUUAGCUAGUUGGUAAGGUAAUGGCUUACCAAGGCGACGAUGCGUAGCCGACCUGAGAGGGUGAUCGGCCACACUGGAACUGAGACACGGUCCAGACUCCUACGGGAGGCAGCAGUAGGGAAUCAUCCGCAAUGGGCGAAAGCCUGACGGUGCAACGCCGCGUGAACGAUGAAGGUUUUCGGAUCGUAAAGUUCUGUUAUGAGGGAAGAACAAGUGCCGUUCGAAUAGGUCGGCACCUUGACGGUACCUCACGAGAAAGCC
rnacentral:rRNA from 1 species